GUCUCAGGCCGUAUCAGCCUGAAGGCGACCGAUCUCGUCUGAUCUCGGAAGCUAAGCAGGGUCGGGCCUGGUUAGUAUCUUGGAUGGGAGACCACCUGGGAAUCCCGGGUGCUCGAGGCU
rnacentral:rRNA from 1 species